UACGAAGGGGGCUAGCGUUGCUCGGAAUCACUGGGCGUAAAGCGCACGUAGGCGGAUCGUUAAGUCGGAGGUGAAAUCCUGGAGCUCAACUCCAGAACUGCCUUCGAUACUGGCGAUCUUGGAGUCCGGGAGAGGUGAGUGGAACUCCGAGUGUAGAGGUGAAAUUCGUAGAUAUUCGCAAGAACACCAGUGGCGAAGGCGGCUCACUGGCCCGAUACUGACGCUGAGGCACGAAAGCGUGGGGAGCAAACAGG
rnacentral:rRNA from 1 species